rnacentral:rRNA from 1 species
GACGAACGCUGGCGGCGUGCCUAAUACAUGCCAGUAGAACGCUGAAGGAGGAGCUUGCUCUUCUGGAUGAGUUGCGAACGGGUGAGUAACGCGUAGGUAACCUGCCUGGUAGCGGGGGAUAACUAUUGGAAACGAUAGCUAAUACCGCAUAACAGUAGAUGUUGCAUGACAUUUACUUAAAAGGUGCAAUUGCAUCACUACCAGAUGGACCUGCGUUGUAUUAGCUAGUUGGUGGGGUAACGGCUCACCAAGGCGACGAUACAUAGCCGACCUGAGAGGGUGAUCGGCCACACUGGGACUGAGACACGGCCCAGACUCCUACGGGAGGCAGCAGUAGGGAAUCUUCGGCAAUGGACGGAAGUCUGACCGAGCAACGCCGCGUGAGUGAAGAAGGUUUUCGGAUCGUAAAGCUCUGUUGUAAGGGAAGAACGAGUGUGAGAGUGGAAAGUUCACACUGUGACGGUAUCUUACCAGAAAGGGACGGCUAACUACGUG